CCUGGACCCACAGAACCUCACCUUCGGGUAUUUCCAACCCCAAACCCCCUACCAGAGCAGACCGCUCCCAACGCUAACACACAAGUUAAUGGUGAUACGUAGGUCAAAUACACACUUUUCACAGGAGGAUCUAUCAUACUUCUACACAUCACAGGCACUCCACGUAUGGCUCCUCUUGACCCCCAGGACUUCUAGUCCUACUUAAAAUUCACCUGGUACCUCUCGGACACCCACAACCCAAACAGCACCCCAAAAGCAAAGAGUCUACUUCUCCUAUACAAUUCCCCACAGGGAUCAACGACAGAGGCCUUCCCAAAAAUAAAACCUCUCUCACACGGGCAAAACACCAAAAUAUUCAACACUGAACCUAACCUUAGCCAUUCUAACUUUGACCUUAACCCUAGCCUGAAUAACUCCAACCCUAACUGUUACUAUCCUAACCCCAACCCUAAUUUUAAACCUUCACCUUAACCAUCCUACUCUAAAUCUAGCCCUGACCAUUCUUAUUUGGACCUCAACCUUAGCCUUAAACCACUCCAACUCUAACCUUGGCCAAUCCAACCCCUACCACCCCUAACACCGUCUCUGACCUUAGCCCUGGCCCCUAACCCGAACUGCAGCCCCAGUUCUAACCCCUCUGUGUGUGUGUGUGUGUGUGUGUAUACAUGUAUCUGUACCUGACCUCAUGUUGUUAACCCUGUCUGUCCCUUACAAUGUAUUGUGUCUUCUGUUUUGUCACACUCCACUCUUCAUUUAUACCAAAUAACAUUUGAAAAGCUUGUGUCACUACAAGGUUGAACAUUUAUCACAUUGGGUCUCCAUUGUAUUAUUAUUAGAUGUGCUUGACCUCCACUCUAACUACCCAUCCACUUUACUGCAUCCCCAUCCCACUCUCACCUUGGUCUGAUUCCUCCACACCACAACCUGUUAGCGGCUGUCCUACCUAGUUACAGUACAGACCAAUCGAAAUAACCUAGACCGCAUUCCCACACGCGCGCACACACCGGAGAGUUAGCUCUCCUCACAGCUUCACGAGACCACCGGACAGUUAGCAUUUCGCUCCACACAUCCAACCAGGACUACAUUCAAGGCAAGUAAAUUACACAGUACACCCUACGGUACAUGUAGAUAUACAUACAUACAUUUUUACUACUUUUUGCACCUUUUAUUUCAAUUUUAUUUGUAUAUUCUCCUCCCUGCUACCUGAUGAAGCCGAGUAGGCAGAAACGCGUCGUGGCUGGGUUUCCCCUAGACCCGUGUGAGACUGUAAGGAAGGCAGAUUCCACACGGACUUCGGGGUUGGGUUUCCCAGCAAGGGUUCCGGCUAUUGGUUCUUUACCAUGGCAGUGCCAGUACACAAUCGUUUCCAGGCUCUAGUUAACCUACAUGAUCAGGCAGGUAUGGUAAGACAGGUGAAUAAAUUGGCGGCCUUUAUUAAACCCUCCUCGCCCAACCAACAGACUCUGGCAAAGCAGGCUAAAUCCAGUUAUGCGGCUGCAGUGACUAGCAAGUCACCGACUGGCAGGGCCUUAAUGGGAGCCAAGGCCCAUAGGGACUCUGGAAUAUGCAGGAAUACUCCAGGGGGAUCGAGUGACAACUCGGACCUGCAAAGAGUGGAGGGGCUAGCUUCAGACUUACCCCAACAAUCAAGAAGAGUAAGGAGAUAUUUAAUCCCCAAACUCAACGACCAAGAGAGAAUCUGGCCCCACCUAAAGUCCCAGCCUUGAUAAUCCCAGGUUCACAACAAGAUAACCAGCAGGGUACGGUAGCAAUGGAAAACGGAAAAGAAACGGAACCUGGGACAGAACUAAUACUGGAACCUGUAAAAAGGGAUACACUUUUUUAUCCCACAUGUCAUUCUAGAACUGAAAGGAAAAUAAAUGAUUGGAGUAUUGAGAUUACAAAACCCGUGGUUUUUAUUGGGGAUUCCAACCUUGCGCGCAUUCCUAGCUUUACGGACACUAACACACAGAUAGACAGCUUUCCGGGAGCAACCUUUAGACAUAUUGCAGGAGUGAUAGGCAAGUUGGGGAAACAGGAAAACACACAGAAGGUGGUUCUAUCAGUGGGUCUUGUCAAUGGCUUGAACCAGCAGUACUCAACUGCAGUCAA